UAUCAAUCGAUAAUUGUUUACUGCAAAAUUUCUCAAUCUUCUAAUGCAUUGACGGAUUGUGAUAUACUUAGAAAGGAAGUAAACUAUUAAAUAUGAUGAUCGCGAUCUAUCAGUUGGCACUUUUCAACCUUCUGACUUAUCGAAAAACUGUGAUAUAUUUAAAAAUGCAGUUAAAUUAUUAACGUGAUCGCGAUCUACCAGUUGGAAAUGUGGAUUUGAAUUUCUAAAAAUCACCAUUCAAUUUAUGCAGUUAAUUUUCCACUAUUCCUGAAUUAUUAUAAAUUCCUGUAGGUAAUUUCCGACUAUUCCUGGAUCACUGUAUAAUAUUGAUAACUAAUUUCCUACUAUUCCUAGAUUAUUGUAUCAUUUCAGUAACUAAUUUCCAUCUAUUCCUGGAUCAUUAUAUACACUUUCAGUAACUAAUUUAUGAAUCUUCCUCGAUUGUGAUAUAAUUUUCUGAUGCACCUAGAAGGAAAUUAUCAACUAGGAAAGCUAGUAACAGCUUUAAUAAAGAAAGGAAAACCUUAUUUAAAGAAUUCUAGUAUAUUUCACGUUAAAAUUUGGAUAUUUUACAUUAGAAUGGUUUAGAAAAAUAUUCUUCGUAAAAUUCUCUCUACAAUUCGUUAGAAAAGCCUAUAUUUCAUGAGCACGUGUCAGGAUUAUAAAUAAGAAAUAUCCAAAAUUCGCCAGAUAUUCUACCUAAUGAUACCGUAAUGAUUCGAAGAUAAUAAUAGCUUCUUAAUGAUUUAAUAAUGAAUAAAAUUAUCAUAUUUGGCA
rnacentral:lncRNA from 1 species